AGCCCCAUAGUCCAAUGGUCAAGAGACAGUAGGUUUAAGCCCUAUCCAGUGAGGGUUCGACUCCCUCUGGGGUUA
rnacentral:tRNA from 1 species